GAGAGGAUCUCCAAUGGCCUCGAGGCUCGGUUCUCUCCCUUCCCAACUCGGAUCCCCUCCCUGCACCACCGCCACCACCCUCGCUCGAACGUCGACGCCAUCGGAGCUCCGCCUCCUCUCCGCUUCUCCGUCCCCAGAUUGUAGAUCGAAGUUCUACAGGAAAACAACGUCAAUGGGAUCUCUCAUCAUUGAGGUUUAUUGAGGGGUAUUGUUAGAAGGUAAUUCAAGAACCAUAUAAAAUUGAAGUAGAUAAUUCAAGUCCUAUAAAAUUUAAGUAGGUAAUUCUGAAUUGCUAUCAGAGUUGUUCAAACCACAGUUGUGGUCAAAUCUCAAGUCAUGAAGAAACGAAUGAGAGAUUUUGUCAGAGGAUGAACGUAAGCUUGCAUCUUGCUCUGGGCAACUGUUUCUCCUUGUCUUCUAAAAAUCAUUUUGAGGCCUUUAAUCUGAUCCUUUUUGAGAUCAUGCUGUCUCUCAUGGUGCUAAGCAAGUCCAACAGCCUGAUGGACACAUCCAACUCCACUUCCACCAUUUUCUUUUGUUUUGGAUUCAAGAAGAUCUGGUUGCUGCUAGGCAAGCAAAGAAGCUCCUUGAUGCACCUGUACAGACCUUGGAGCCCUCUCAAUCCCUUCCAUAUCAUAUAGGUUGUUGAAUAAAAUUUAACUACAGAAGACUUGACCGGCUGCAGCUCCUCUUCCACUCUGAGCAUGAGGGGAUGAUCUCUCAGAGGCAUGCUAGUGGAUCGGGACAUGGAAAAGCUGAACUGAUGCCGCAGGGGAAUCAACCAUAUUUACGAUGUGAUCUUGGAAAACCUUUGCCAUUUAUUAUCAGCUGAACAAAUAGGAUGGGAAGAUGUGACUGACCCUUGAACUCAUCCU